AGAGUUUGAUCCUGGCUCAGGACGAACGCUGGCGGCGUGCCUAACACAUGCAAGUCGAACGGGGUUACACGAGGUGCUUGCACCAUGUGGAACCUAGUGGCGGACGGGUGAGUAACGCGUGAGCAACCUGCCUUUCAGAGGGGAUAACAACGGGAAACCGUUGCUAAUACCGCAUAAUACCGGAUGAUGGCAUCAUUGACCGGUCAAAGGAGCAAUCCGCUGAAAGAUGGGCUCGCGUCCCAUUAGGUAGUUGGUGGGGUAAAGCCUACCGAAGCCGACGAUGGGUAGCCGGACUGAGAGGUUGAUCGGCCACAUUGGAACUGAGACACGGUCCAAACUCCGUACGGGAGCA
rnacentral:rRNA from 1 species